GAUUCAGUUCCACGUGCAGACUGACAACGAACAGGUUAAGAUUUGCACAAUCAAGAAACCCUCGCAAGACGCACUAACGAUCGUGUUUGCAAUGACGGCAACGAGGCUGGUCUGCCAAGCGGAAAACGAGAAACAAUGGAUGCUGGAAGACUACAAGAUGGAUCCGACGACUGCAAUCACUCUGGUCCAGAAUUUCGAAGUUUCGUUCGUCCGACAGUUCACUGGCAUGAGCUUGCCGGCAGACUUUUAGAAGACUCGCUUCCUCCAAGUCUCGAGUGAGGACCAAGACCUUGGACAGCAUGUCAACGGAAACUACAUGGGGGUUUGUUUUGCUAAUGAAUAAAAUGUUUCUCGUGC